rnacentral:lncRNA from 1 species
CAGGCUGGCUAGGAGAGGAAGAGAGGCCAGGUGGGGAAUGGAAAGAAAGGAGGGAUCCAGAAGCUGAACAUUACCAUGACAGCAGAAAACAAAUUCAUUCUGUGAACGGCAGGCCUUCGCAAAUCCUUGUGCACUAGAGACCUUUAAAAAAGGAGAAGCCGAGAAUACUGAUCGUGUUCUAAAGAGCGAAAACAGAGCAUGGACGCCAAAAUCCUGACUCACCAUUUUUAGCUUUGGAAGAGGCAGGUCCAGCCCAACAGUUUUAAAAGGCAAUUUGUUCUCUGAACCUUCCUUCCCAAGCAGGGCUCUGUGCUCUGUGUGUGUCUGGCCAGCCGUCUCAGAAAGGGCUUUUGGGUGAAGAGGAUAAACCUGUUUCUUUGGCCCUCUCGUGCUGGACAAAUAAAGGAAGUUUCAUUGCUGAGAUGACUGCGAGAAGGGGCUUCAGAUCGAGGAGAAAACCGCUAAACCAGAGGUUUUGUCUUUUUUCCCCCUCACUCGAUUAAUGGUGUAAAUAUACCUCAAACAUCUAUCCCCUAACCCCCGCCCAAACCUCAGGUAACUGGUCUUUUGUAAAACAAGGGUCACGAUAAAUGAUGCAUAAAGUUCUUUGAGAUCCCUGGAAGCAAAGUGCUACGUGACUGCAGUCUUCCUUACAGCUAAGCUAAGAUUGUGGCUGAGAGAAAGCCUAACCGCUGCCCUGAUGGUAUGAACGUUUCAGUUCCCCCUCCCUUCCCAACCUUUCUCAAGAAAUCAGGAAAUUUUUAGCUCAGUCUUAGACCCGCUAGCGAGCUCUAGCUCCCAGUUAUUU